rnacentral:rRNA from 1 species
UACGUAGGGUGCAAGCGUUGUCCGGAAUUAUUGGGCGUAAAGAGCUCGUAGGCGGUUUGUCGCGUCGGCUGUGAAAACUCGGGGCUCAACCCCGAGCCUGCAGUCGAUACGGGCAAACUUGAGUGCGGUAGGGGAGACUGGAAUUCCUGGUGUAGCGGUGAAAUGCGCAGAUAUCAGGAGGAACACCGGCGGCGAAGGCGGGUCUCUGGGCCGUAACUGACGCUGAGGCGCGAAAGCUAGGGGAGCAAACAGG